GAAAUGCGAUAAGUAAUGUGAAUUGCAGAAUUCAGUGAAUCAUCGAAUCUUUGAACGCACCUUGCGCUCCCUGGUAUUCCGGGGAGCAUGCCUGUUUGAGUGUCAUGGUAUCCUCAACCUUCAUAACUUUUUUGUUAUCGAAGGCUUGGACUUGGAGGUUGUGCUGGCUCCUAGUCGAGUCGGCUCCUCUUAAAUGUAUUAGCGUGAGUGUAACGGAUCGCUUCGGUGUGAUAAUUAUCUGCGCCGUGGUCGUGAAGUAACAUAAGCUUGCGCUUCUAACCGUCCUUCAGUUGGACAACUUACUUUGACAUCUGACCUCAAAUCAGGUAGGACUACCCGCUGAACUUAAGC
rnacentral:misc_RNA from 1 species